UCGAGAAUCUUCGGCAAUGGGCGAAAGCCUGACCGAGCGACGCCGCGUGCGGGAUGAAGGCCCUCGGGUUGUAAACCGCUGUCAGAGGGAACGAAAGGUCAUGGGGCUAUCCCCACGAUUUGACCGAUCCUCAGAGGAAGUACGGGCUAAGUUCGUGCCAGCAGCCGCGGUAAGACGAACCGUACGAACGUUAUUCGGAAUCACUGGGCUUAAAGGGUGCGUAGGCGGUGCGGUAAGUUGGGUGUGAAAU
rnacentral:rRNA from 1 species